UAACAAGGAUUCCCCUAGUAACUGCGAGUGAAGCGGGAAAAGCUCAAAUUUGAAAUCUGGCAGUCUUUUUUUUCUUCUUUGGGCUGUCCGAGUUGUAAUCUAGAGAAGUGCUUACCUGCACUGGACCAUGUAUAAGUCUCCUGGAAUGGAGCGUCGCAGAGGGUGAGAAUCCCGUCUUUGACAUGGACUGCCAGUGUGUUGUGGUGCGCUCUCAAAGAGUCGAGUUGUUUGGGAAUGCAGCUCUAAAUGGGUGGUAAACUCCAUCUAAAGCUAAAUAUUGGCGAGAGACCGAUAGCGAACAAGUACCGUGAGGGAAAGAUGAAAAGGACUUUGGAAAGAGAGUUAAACAGUAUGUGAAAUUGUUGAAAGGGAAACGCUUGAAGUCAGUUAUGUUGGCUAGGGAUCAACCUAGCUAUUUUUUUGCUGGGUGAAUUUCCUAGUCUGACAGGCCAACAUCAGUCUUGACUGCUGGAAAAGAGCAGAGGGAAUGUGGCACCUUUGGGUGUGUUAUAGCCCUUUGUCAUAUGUAGCAGUUGGGACUGAGGGAUGCAGCGUGCCGCGAGGCUGGGUUUCGACCACGUUCACGCUUAGGAUGUUGGCUUUUAAUGGCUUCAAUCGAC
rnacentral:rRNA from 1 species